UACGAAGGAUGCAAGCGUUAUCCGGAUUCAUUGGGCUUAAAGGGCGCGUAGGUGGCCUUAUAAGUCAGUGGUGAAAUCUCUCGGCUUAACUGAGAAAUUGCCAUUGAUACUGUAGGGCUUGAGUACAGUUGCUGUGGGCGGAAUAUGACAUGUAGUGGUGAAAUACAUAGAGAUGUCAUAGAACACCGAUUGCGAAGGCAGCUCACAAAACUGUAACUGACACUGAGGCUCGAAAGUGCGGGGAUCAAACAGG
rnacentral:rRNA from 1 species